UACGAAGGGGGCUAGCGUUGCUCGGAAUCACUGGGCGUAAAGCGCACGUAGGCGGAUCUUUAAGUCAGGGGUGAAAUCCUGGAGCUCAACUCCAGAACUGCCUUUGAUACUGAGGAUCUUGAGUCCGGGAGAGGUGAGUGGAACUGCGAGUGUAGAGGUGAAAUUCGUAGAUAUUCGCAAGAACACCAGUGGCGAAGGCGGCUCACUGGCCCGGUACUGACGCUGAGGCACGAAAGCGUGGGGAGCAAACAGG
rnacentral:rRNA from 1 species